rnacentral:rRNA from 1 species
CCCUUAGAAGUUCUGGGCUACACGCGUGUUACACUGAUAUGUUCAACAAGUUAAAAUAUUCCUUGCCCGACGGGGCUGGGUAAUCUUUUAAAAGCAUGUCGUGAUGGGGAUAGAGCAUUGUAAUUAUUGCUCUUGAACGAGGAAUUCCUAGUAAGUGCAAGUCAUUAACUUGCGCUGAUUACGUCCCUGCCCUUUGUACACACCGCCCGUCGCUCCUACCGAUUGGGUGUGCUGGUGAAAUGUUCGGAUCGGCCGUUUGUCGCGGUUUCCGCGUCAUGUGGCUGAGAAGUUCAUUAAACCCUCCCACCUAGAGGAAGGAGAAGUCGUAACA